UUCUUAUUUUCCCAGUGUGGUGUCUCGCUCUGACCACAUAUUUAAGGCUGUUUGACUCCCUGGGUUCUGUACAUGAAGAAUCAUACAGAUUAUAGAGAUAGAUAGAUAGAUA